GACGAACGCUGGCGGCGUGCUUAACACAUGCAAGUCGAACGGGCCUUGUCCCCUUUUUUUUUGGGGGUGGGGUUAGUGGCGAACGGGUGAGUAACACGUGAGUAACCUGCCCCUCACUUCUGGAUAACCGCUUGAAAGGGUGGCUAAUACGGGGUGUUCUGGCCUGCUCGCAUGGGUGGGUUUGGAAAGAUUCGACCGGUUUUGGUUGUUUUGGUGGGGGAUGGGCUCGCGGCCUAUCAGCUUGUUGGUGGGGUGAUGGCCUGCCAAGGCUUUGACGGGUAGCCGGCCUGAGAGGGUGGGCGGUCACACUGGGACUGAGACACGGCCCAGACUCCGACGGGAGGCAGCAGUGGGGAAUAGUGCACAAUGGGCGCAAGACUGAUGCAGCGACGCCGCGUGAGGGAUGGAGGCCUGCGGGUUGUGAACCUCUUUCGCCAGUGAAGAAGGUCCUGCUCUUUGUGGUGGGGUUGACGGUAGCUGGGUUAAUGAAGCGCCGGCUAACUACGUG
rnacentral:rRNA from 1 species